rnacentral:rRNA from 1 species
UUCGCCCUUAGAGUUUGAUCCUGGCUCAGGAUGAAUUCUGGCGGCAUGCCUAACACAUGCAAGUCGAACGGGGUUUAUAUAACAGAACUCUCCGGAGGGAAGAUAUAUAAACCUAGUGGCGGACGGGUGAGUAACGCGUGGGCAACCUGCCCUGUACCGGGGGACAACAGCCAGAAAUGGCUGCUAAUACCGCAUAAGCCUGCUGUGCCGCAUGGCACAGCAGGGAAAACCACGGUGGUACAGGAUGGGCCCGCGUCUGAUUAGUUAGUUGGCAGGGUAACGGCCUACCAAGACAACGAUCAGUAGCCGGCUUGAGAGAGUGGACGGCCACAUUGGGACUGAGACACGGCCCAGACUCCUGCGGGAGGCAGCAGUGGGGAAUAUUGCACAAUGGGGGGAACCCUGAUGCAGCGACGCCGCGUGAGUGAAGAAGUAUUUCGGUAUGUAAAGCUCUGUCAGCAGGGAAGAAGAAAGACGGUACCUGACCAAGAAGCCCCGGCUAACUACGUGCCAGCAGCCGCGGUAAUACGUAGGGGGCAAGCGUUAUCCGGAUUUACUGGGUGUAAAGGGAGCGUAGACGGCAGGGCAAGUCUGGAGUGAAAGGCAGGGGCCCAACCCCUGGACUGCUCUGGAAACUGUCCGGCUGGAGUGAAGUAGAGGCAGGUGGAAUUCCCGGUGUAGCGGUGAAAUGCGUAGAGAUCGGGAGGAACACCAGUGGCGAAGGCGGCCUGCUGGGCUUUAACUGACGCUGAGGCACGAAAGCAUGGGUAGCAAACAGGAUUAGAUACCCUGGUAGUCAUGCCGUAAACGAUGAUUACUAGGUGUGGGUGGACUGACCCCAUCCGUGCCGGAGUUAACACAAUAAGUAAUCCACCUGGGAAGUACGACCGCAAGGUUGAAACUCAAAGGAAUUGACGGGGGCCCGCACAAGCAGUGGAGUAUGUGGUUUAAUUCGAAGAUACGCGAAGAACCUUACCAGGUCUUGACAUCCGACUAACGAAGUAGAGAUACAUUAGGUGCCCUUCGGGGAAAGUCGAGACAGGUGGUGCAUGGUUGUCGUCAGCUCGUGUCGUGAGAUGUUGGGUUAAGUCCCGCAACGAGCGCAACCCUUACUGUUAGUUGCUACGCAAGAGCACUCUAGCAGGACUGCCGUUGACAAAACGGAGGAAGGUGGGGACGACGUCAAAUCAUCAUGCCCCUUAUGACCUGGGCUACACACGUACUACAAUGGCCGUAAACAGAGGGAAGCAAAGCCGCGAGGUGGAGCCAACCCCCAAAAGCGGUCUCAGUUCAGAUUGCAGGCUGCAACUCGCCUGCAUGAAGUCGGAAUUGCUAGUAAUCGCAGAUCAGAAUGCUGCGGUGAAUACGUUCCCGGGCCUUGCACACACCGCCCGUCA